AUUGAACGCUGGCGGCAGGCCUAACACAUGCAAGUCGAACGAGUGGCGGACGGGUGAGUAAUACCUGGGAAACUGCUCUGUGGAGGGGGAUAACUACGGGAAACGGUCGCUAAUACCGCAUACGAUUGAAUGUGCCGAUGUCGGAUUAGCUAGUUGGCGGGGUAAAGGCCCACCAAGGCGACGAUCCGUAGCUGGUCUGAGAGGAUGACCAGCCACACUGGAACUGAGACACGGUCCAGACUCCUACGGGAGGCAGCAGUGGGGAAUAUUGGACAAUGGGCGCAAGCCUGAUCCAGCCAUACCGCGUGUGUGAAGAAGGCCUUCGGGUUGUAAAGCCCUGUCAGCGGGGAAGCGUUACCCGCAGAAGAAGCACCGGCUAACUUCGUGCCAGCAGCCGCGGUAAUAC
rnacentral:rRNA from 1 species